UCAGAUUUGAAACAAACCAAAACAGAAAUAGUUCACCAAGAAGAAAUGGUUUCAAGUACUAGAUUAUCAUUGUGGAGAUUAUGGUAUAAAAUUACUUCCAACAAUGUAACAGUGAGUCCAGUUCAAGUAGAUAGUGUUACAAAUAGCACUUUACAAACAGACUUAAAUGUAACCAGAACAGGAAGUAGUAUGCUUUACGGGAAAUUAGUCAGCAACACAACAGAGACUGUAUUUGAAUACAGUAAUUUGUUUAGCAUACAUUUUGCUCAGAGAAUUGCAGAUUCAGACCUUAAUAAAGUGGGAGAUAAGCUUACUGUGUUAUGGAAGAAAAAAAUAGGUACAAAGGUAAAGAGUGUUCAAGUUUUGAAGCAAGAAGAAACAUUUUAUAG